AAAGUCGUAACAAGGUUUCCGUAGGUGAACCUGCGGAAGGAUCAUUAGUGAAUAUUAGGGUGCUCUCUUUACUGAGAGGCCUGACCUCCACUAUCCAACACUGUGAACUUUUAUUAUGUGAAGGAGGCAGCAAUGUCAAAUUCGCAUUUUACUUAUAACACUAGUCAAAGAAUGCAACUAAAACAUAACAAAAAAAAACUUUCAACAACGGAUCUCUUGGCUCUC
rnacentral:misc_RNA from 1 species